rnacentral:lncRNA from 1 species
UUCACAGAAUGAUUGAGGAUUUGAGGGAAGCAUGUUAAGACUGUGACAAUAUGGUCUUAAGGCAGCCGGCCUCAUUGAGAACAAGAAAAUAUUCUGCUUCAUGUAGCGGUUGUUAUUUGUUAAUAUGACAUGUCUCGGCAGUGUAGUGACCCUGUGCUUAAUUAAGGCUUCAGGCUCAAAUCAUGGUAAACCAAAAUGUAAGCGGCCGGUUGAAAAAGUAGCAGAGUCGAAAAUGGAAAUUAAUGAGCUGCAGAAGUAAAUUUUAGAAGAAUAAUUCUCUUCUUUGUUGUAUCCUUGUGGCUGAGGGACAUGACGAAUGAGGCCAUUCUUUACCAGUGCUCUUCACGCCACUCAAUCCUGGGCCCGGUGCAUGCUAGCCUGCAGUGGUCUUUGUCAGAGAUGUUAUUGUGUCUGCCCAAUGUGUGCCCAUGCUGCCACUUCUUCACUUCCUUGCCGUGUCCUGUGAUUAUGGGAAUAAUAUGCAAAUAAAAACCAACAAUGGGCCAUCGAAGAACAGGAGAGGGCAUGUGGGCCUUAGAGAAAGAGUUGUUAAUGUGAAGACUAAAUAAAUUCAACAAAUAAAAUCUCAACUAUAAUACUGUCUUUGGUACACCCGCUACCAUCGCGUCAAAUAGUGAAAGUGCAGUUCAGUGUAAGCAAAGACAGUGUACAAGAUAUACCACUCACCUAUGGCAUUAGUGUUACUAGACCACAUUAAUACAUAAAGACUAUUUUUCUAAACUUGUCCAAAAAUUUUAUUAAAAAGGUGUCGGAACGCCUUACAGGUGUCUGGGGGGACCAAAUAGCGGGUUCCUUCUUUGCUCAGAGGUUGAGUCUGGCGGUGCAAAGGGGAAACGCCGCAAGCAUUCUUGGGUCUAUGCCGGAGGCAGGGGAUCUGAGGGGGUUUUUUAUAUUUAGUUAUAACCUGCUUGUGUUAGUUUUAGUCUUUAGGGUUUUAAGAUUUAAUUAUAAGAUUAAAUAUAUUGUUCGUAGUUGUUGUUGAAUAAGCAGUGUUUGUGUGUCUGACUAACGAAAAUAUAAAUUCAGAUUCUAAACGUCUAAACUUGUGUAUAGCUCUGUGUUGUCUUAAUAAAUCCUAUUGGAAACGC